rnacentral:rRNA from 1 species
GUGGGGAAUAUUGCACAAUGGGCGCAAGCCUGAUGCAGCAAUGCCGCGUGUGUGAAGAAGGCCUGCGGGUUGUAAAGCACUUUCAGUAGAGAGGAAAAGCUCGAGAUUAAUACUCUUGAGUCUUGACGUUAACUACAAAAGAAGCACCGGCUAACUCCGUGCCAGCAGCCGCGGUAAUACGGAGGGUGCGAGCGUUAAUCGGAAUUACUGGGCGUAAAGCGCGCGUAGGCGGUUUGGUCAGUCGGAUGUGAAAGCCCUGGGCUUAACCUGGGAACUGCAUUCGAUACUGCCAGACUAGAGUAUGGUAGAGGGAAGCGGAAUUCCGGGUGUAGCGGUGAAAUGCGUAGAUAUCCGGAGGAACACCAGUGGCGAAGGCGGCUUCCUGGACCAAUACUGACGCUAAGGUGCGAAAGCGUGGGGAGCAAACAGG